CGGUGGGCUAGGCCGGGGGGUUCGGCGUCCCCUGUAACCCGAAACCGCCGUUACGCGGGGGCCGAAGCCGACGGAAGGCCUGGAAGGCUGGGGGGUAAAGUCGCCCCGCCCUGCAGAGUCUCCGUCCCAGGGGGCCGGCGGUCAUGGUUGGGCUUCCCGGAGGGGAUGUCCGCCAUGUUUGCCGGAGGAACCGGCUCAGGCCCGGAAGGGAGCAGGCUAACUCCGGACGUUCGGCGCUCCUGGGGGUGCGGAGAGGAGGGGAGGGGCGAAAAUAACCCUCCAGCCAGAAGGGUCGACCGGAGGCGCGCCCACCU
rnacentral:SRP_RNA from 1 species